UUGUGAAAGGUUCAGGAGCUUCACCCCACCAUCCCUCUCUCAGGAUUCUGAAAUUUUUAAAUAGCUGGCGAGGUCAAGGCUACUAAUUCUGAUGAAAAGUGAAGGAAUCUACUGUAUACAACUGAAGCUUGAUAGGACACUUUAACAUAAUAUGUCAUUACUGAAAUGUGGCCAUGACAAAGAUGCUAACACAGCUUCCUUUUGUCAUCUGGUCUUAGAUUUAAAACCUUGAUUUAAUGAAAGUGUUGAUACCACACUGAAGAAAAAAAGACUGAUUUUUUGGGGUCAUUAAAUAUGAGCCACUUGAAUAAAGGAAGGAUGGUCUUGGAUAGGUAAGGUAAAGGGUAUAGUUUAUAUUAGCAUGGGACAAAAGGAGAAACUACAGAAACCUACAAGAAUCCCAGUGAGAUACAUUUUUCCUCUGGAUAGAAACCAAUAGCAAAAGUAAGGCAAGGGUUAAAUAAUUAACUCUCUAUUUUCUUUCUUUUAACACACUUUCUCUUUUGUGUCAGACACUGAAAAGCAUGGCCUCAAACUUUGAACACUUUGAAAUUUCCUCUCUUUUUUUCCCUAAAGAUUUCACAUUUUCCACAAUUGUGUUGCACUGAUAACUAUCACUCCCUUCCCUCCACUGAUAAUCCCAGUUUUAUGUAACUUAUAAAAGGCAGUCUGACCCCGAGACUUCAUAGCAGGUAGCAGAUGGCUUUGGUGGAUGCCUAUGUCUGCUAUUAAAGUAAAAAGACAGGAAGCAGCACAGACAGUGUUCUUUUAUUUAAAAAAAAAUUUGGGUUGUCAUGUGAUAUGAAACACAAAUCUAAGAGCUUUCAGCAAUCACAAACCUCAUGUAGUGUGAUUUUCACUAGAAGGUCAAUGUAAUACCACCUUCAAGUCUGCGUGAAAGAUGCAUUGCAUGAAAGAAAAGAUGGUGUUUUCUGGUCUACUACUUAUACAUGUAACAAUUUAUUAUACAAAAAUCAGAGUACAAUUCAGACAACUUGUGAAUGCUUAUUGAAGUUGCCAGGCAAAAAUAUGCUAUUCCAUGCCAUAUUAGCAUUUUCUGGUUUAGGCCAGCUGAUCUAUUUGAAUUAGGUUACAUAAACCAUCACAUUCAAUAUGUAAGUUGAACAUGUAUAUUCAAAUAUUUUUCCUUUUAAAAUGGAACUGUGACUCAUAUUAUACAGAACUUACUCUGAAUAAAGUAAAACUAGACAGAUUGCAGUGCUUUCCCCCAGUCAGCUAAGAAUUCUAAGAGCCCACAGACAUAACAGUGAGAGUUUCAGGUUUGUUUUCAAUAGUCAGAUGUGUUGCUUAUUCCACUUUUAAAAAGUUCAUAGAACUCAUUAAUACUUUUAUAUACCAUAAUCAUUCACCUUCAACAUUUGAUAUUGUGUUUAAAAUAUGACUUUACUUAAUUAUUUUCAACAAGCACUUUUCCGGAGUAUCCACCAGUCAGAAACACCAUUUCAAGUGCUCUGGAACCUUCUGCUUUUACAUAUUAAUAAUUCCCAAACAGAGUGUCUGCUUCAGACAUUAGUUUCUGAAAUAGAAUUGAGUCUUAAUUAGCUCAAGAGAAACUCCUACUUAAGUAGUCUUAGAGAAAAUGCACUCAUUUCCACCUCUAAUAUAUCCUCCUGUUGUUUGACUGUGAUGAGAAUGGUCUUUUAAAAGAGGCCUCAGGUGUGAAACCAACUGUUGAGGCUCAUUGUCAGCUGCUGGUUUCUAGAGUAUUAAUUCAAAAUUAGGGAAAAUAUAAGACUAUGUCUACAUUGGCCAACUAUCGCAAAACAACAAUUUUCAGUUAAGGGUGCAGCAUCCUCUACAAUGCCCUUGAGGAAGAUUCAGAAGCUCAUUCUAUUUCCAUCUGCUUCCAUCAUUAGAGAAUGCAGUUGAUUGAUUCAACCUCUCUAACAAUAAGAACGAAUGUUAUUUAACUAAAAGGCUGAAAUGACUUCAUUUGUAUCGGGUCUCGUUGUUGGAUGAAAAGUGCAAAAGAAGAAUGAGCAAAAGAACAGCUGCUGUCUCCUCCAAUCUUCCUAUCAAGAAAUGACACUGAGUACUCAUCUUACACAUCUUCUACAUCACUCAUUUAACACCAGAUAUAGUACAUUAUGAUCAACAUUUUUAUUAAUAUCAUCAUUGGAGGUCUUGAGUGUAUAUAGCUUAUUUCAUCAAAAUAUGGAAUGUUGCUUGUGGGUAAAACGUAUAUAUAUUUUAAAUCCCUGUUGGGUCUGUUGGAGUGCUAUAUACAAAGUAGGCACUCAGAAAAUAUUUGUUGUAGGAUAGAUUAAUUAAAUGCUUAAGGCAAGACUGCUAAUUGUCCCCUAGUAUUUAUUCACCCCUUCCUAUAGGAAUAGAAGCUCCAUCUCCACCCUCUGGUGUUAGGACACAUGGCUGUCUAGCUAGGGACUGCAUUUCUCAGCAUCACUAGCAGCUAGAUAAUCUGGCCUGUGUCCAGUUAUUUCUUAUGACACUGCUGUCCUCUGCUUCUUUCACCUUUUCAGGUGUAGUGAUCAUCCAGCGUCAUGCACAGUAGAUGAGAAACUCCUAGGGGAUGGUAGACAGACAAGGUAGAAGGAAUUUAGAUGGAGCAAAAUUAUUUAUGUGUUUGAACCUCCCACCUAUUCCUGCACUGCUAAAUGUGAGAAAACAGAGUUCCAUUUUAUUUGAGUGAGAUUGCAUUCUGUGAUAUCUUUGUUACUGCUGCUGGGCUAGCACUAUAACUGACAUAACAUGCAUAAUGCUCUAUUCCUUUUUUUUUUUUUUUUUUUUUUGGAGACAGAGCCUCACUCUGUUGCCCAGGCUGGAGUGCAGUGGCACAAUCUUGGCUCUCACUGCAACCUCUGUCUCCAGGGGUCAAGCGAUUCUCCUGCCUCAGCCUCCCAAGUAGCUGCGACUACAGGCAUGUGCCACCAUGUCCAGCUAAUUUUUUUUGUAUUUUUAGUAGAGACAAGGUUUCACCAUGUUGACUAGACUGGUCUCAAACUCCUGACUUCAGAUGAUCUGCCUGCCUUGGCCUCCCAAGGUGUUGGGAUUACAGGCAUGAGCCACCAUGCCCGGCCAUAAUGCUCUAUCCUAUAGAUGCCAUUCUAGAAUUCCACAGAUCCACUGGUUGUCUUCUACUAUGAUUGUGAUAAUCUGAGAAGCAGUCAGGUCUGACUUAAAGGCAUUUGUGGCUAUUGAAGAUGAGAGAACCCAUCUGUUAAGGAUGCCUGCUCUCAAGCUAAGUAUCGGCAAAAUUCACUAAGGCUGUGGUCUUCACUGUAAGAGAAGCCACUGUAAAAUGAAGUCAGAAUUGCACAGAUUAUCAGAGUGAGCUGCCUUUUGUUGCCUAUGUAAUUUGUAAUUAUCUCAAAUAAAAAUCUAACAGCAAUUUUUUAAGGUUUUGCAAAGAACUAAAAAUGAAGUGCAACUUAGCCUUGAAUAAUCAAAGCAUUUUUUUCUAAAUACCUCUAUGCCUUAACACACGCACAAAAAUGUAAGUAAAUUGAGGAAAGAGAUUGUUUCAUAUUUCUGUUUGCACAGAAAUCAUGUUUAUAUAUACGGCAAAAGAGUGAACUCAUCCUAAGUAUUCACUGAGGGUUGUUGAAUUGAUUGUUCAGAAUAUAGAAGCUCAAAAAUAUUGUACAUAUUCUAGUGUCUAUGACUAAUAAUUGGAAUAAGUUUCACAAUAGUUUACUUAUCUAAGUAUUAUUUUCUCCACAUUGGUAAUUGCUAUACUGUUGGUAGUACAAAAAUAAAUAUUUGGGGAACUUUCUACAUAAAAAAAAAUCCAGUCAUUGCUAGAGUUAUUUGAGCUAAUAGCUAUGUUUCAGUUGGGAUUUCCAGAAUAUCUGCUGAAUACUUUAUCCUGCAAUUUAGAUCAAGAAAGCAGGGUUUAUUUUUGAUCAGGGUUUAUAUAUUUACAGAAAACAAAAGAAAAAUCUCUAGAUUCCAAUUAGGUUGAGUUUGCUUUUUUGAACAAUAAAUUCAGAUGUCAUAAUAAUGAAAUAUUUCUCCACCACACUGAGCCUUUGAAGAACAGCUUUCUUAUGGGUAAGUUGAUCAGUUUGGUCUGGAUAAACAGGAGCUACCCACACAGAAAUCACUGGUUUCGGGAAGAAGGCUUUCUGUAAUUUGUGUUGUGUUGAUCCCCAUCAUAACAGGAGAGUAAUCAUGGAUGAGUAACUUUUAUGUCUUGUACCAGUAUAGAUAUGAUGAAGAAUUUCUAAGUACCUAAUCUAUUGCCCAAUUUUGAAGAGCUAAUUGAAUCAUUAUACAUUUAAUAUAGCCUUUUGAACAUUUUUAGCAAUUGCUUCCAGAAAAACAUGACUUGUGACAUUUUAAAAAAUUACCUUAAAAAUAAUAUGAAAAAAUCAAUAAUAAACUCAAAUAAAAAAUAAGUUACUUAAGAGUUAACUAUUUUUCCAAAUUAAAUUGCACAUUAAGUUCUAUAGUUUUUGAGAUCAUUUAAAACAAAAUUUCCACCAACCUCCCUUUAUUUGAGGGUAUUUUAAAACUAAAAACAAUUAAGUUUUUGAGAUCGAUUUAAUUUUUACUUCUUUUAAGUACCAGCAUAAACAUCUGCCAUCUGGCAUAGAAAUUACUUCAUAUGGCGGGAGGAGAGAUGAGAUUUAUUUAAAAGUUCUUUGUCUUUGAUACUUUUCCCUGCUGCAUUUUCCACUAGUGUAAUUUGAACCUGACUGUAUUUAAAUAACCAUUUAUCGCCGUAAUGGAAGAGCGGACUUAAAAAUACAUAACUGCUGUCAUUCCAGGAGACUGUAUUAAGGAAACAUAGAAUUUGCCAUUCUAGAUCAGACCAUUUGUCUGUCUUGUCUCACACUUGCCUCCGGCAGUGGCCAACAUUGAAGACAAUGGAGAACCGCAAAAAUAUGCAACGUGGGCACAACCCAUUUUGCGGGGAAUAAUUAUUUUCUCUGUUGGUAUUCUUACACUAUGGUAUAUUAGAAUUGAAUCACCCCCACCUGUUUAUAUUAUUAAUAAUUUUAUCAAUCAAUACACUAACCAGUUCUGCUAAAAUUAUUUUACUGAAUUAUGCUUAAUGAUCUAUGGUAUUUCUAUAGAGGAAAUACUCUUAUGGGACUAACACUCAGGUUUUUAAUGCCUUGAUUUUUAAAUAUGAGAAAGAUAUGGGGAAAUUUAGGCUGUAUAGCACAACAAAACAAACUGAAACCCUUUAAUUCUUGCUUGUACUUCAAAGCCCAGAAAAAAACAUAUUUACUACAAAAGUUCAGCUUGCAGGUCCAGAAGACAAUCUAACAUGAUCUAGCUUUAUACUAAAUUUACUAUUGAUAGUAGAAGAAAAAUUCUAUGCUGGGUGAUUAAUAGGUUGGCCAGAAUGUAGGCCUACAAAUUUUUAUCUUCCUUGACAUCUCACCAAUGUUGUGGAAAAAAUAUUACAGCAACAAAUUCAUUUCAUGAUCUGUCUCUGAAGUUAUAGGUGGGUACUAUGAGCAGAAUACUUACCAAGUGUAGAGCUCACAUACACACACAUACACACACACACACACACACAGACACCAAUGUAUGCACACAUUGUCCGCUCCACAUACUCACACAUUUCCCCAGUGCUCCAGGCAUUUUGAACUGUUUGGUGCCCCCUGUUCAUUAUUUGCCUUCACUUUGUCCUCUGCUAGUUCCUUCCUUACCUGUCCCUAGGCAAAUAUAAACUGUCCUCCAUGAUCACAUAAAUUAUACCCAUUCUUCUAUAAGACUACUAUUAUAAUCUCUCAAGGAAUUAUAAGUGCAUAAAAUUUGUGUAAUCUUUCAGCCAACUUCUUACCUGCCCCAUAAAAAGUACUUAUAAAACAACUUUUUUCUUGUCUCCUUCACAACCAGAAAAAAAACAAAUCUUUGUAAAUUACUGUCAAAUUACAAGUACCACUACUGGUGUGAUCAUUUUUUGGGAUAAUAUGUUUGUAAACAUAUUUACUACAAAAAUCAAGAGUUUUAAAUUGGGUAAACGCCUGCCCACCUGGUUACUCAGUUGAGUAGGGCCUUCCUUCUGUUUUUUUUUUUUUUUUUAAAGUCCUCUGUUGGUGUGACUAUUAACGCCAAAUCACUUUGAAAGUUCAGCAAAAUGUUUUCAGUUUUGAGCUGAAAAAUGGUAUUAGUGGCUGGAGAUGGUAUCACAUGACAUUUCCAGCCUCCAGAAUGAUAAUAUGUUGUCUGCUGACUUAAUAAACUCUCUUUCUACAAUUGUUAGUAUCUUCGGAGAUAUCUUUUCAGUAUUUGUUUUUAUGUAUAUUGAGCAAUAAUACAAUCAUACAUGGUCAUGGAUGACUAAAAAUAUUCAAAUUGGGAUACUUAGGUAGUGAAUGAGUUUUAAAAGUGCUCUUAAAUAGGUAAGCAGUUGAAAAUGAUUUAUUUCAAUUGGCGUUGUACUGAACUGGCAGCAAAAGGAGAGGCAGGGAAAAAAAUCCUCAUCCCUUCCUAAAAUAAGAGAAAGAAUUUUAACUUUGAGCCAAGCUCUAAAGGCAUCUGGAAAUCCUUGCAUCGGUUUCUUAGCUUCUUGCAUUUUGUAGGCUAGCCUUUCCAUGAAGGCAAAAAGAACUUUCUCAGAAUAAACACUUCUUCCAGCUAAGAUCAAUCCCUACCUUUUAGAUGUAGCAUACCUAUCAAAAAUAAAGCUUGGCAAGAUUUUAUCCAUAAUGCGACUUGAUAACUUUUAAAUCUGUUGGCCAGAAUCUUCACUUUAGCAUGAGACAGGUUAAGAUAUCCCUCUAUCUCCAUAGUUCUCAAUGGAAGCAAUUUUUGGCUCCACAUUCCCCCCAUCCCCAGGAUAUUUGGCAAAGUCUGGAGACAUUUCUAUUGUCAACACUGUGGGGUUGGUACAGGCAUAUAGGAGUUAGUGGCCUGAGAUGCUGUUAAACAUCCUACAACGCACAGGACCAAUGCACCAAUGAAGAAUUGUCUUGCCCACAUAUCAAUAGGGCUGAGAUUAAGUAAUUCAGCUCUAAAUGAAGAGUAUUAGAAACACAAACACAGAGAGUGUUGAAAUAUCUCACCACCCACUCUGGAAUGAGAAUUAUACAUGGUUUACUAUGAAUUAAAUUAAGCAUAACCAUAUACAACUGUCAAAGAAAUACACUAGGCUUCUAAUAGCCAUUUUUUUGUUGUUUUUUAGUUCACCUCUGUAAGGAACUAGAAAUAAUCUUUCUAUUUAUUUUUGGUUGGUUUCUUAAUUUUCUAGUGAUGCUGGUAUUCCUCUGUCUCCCACACCAUUCUUGACUGUGCUGUUUGUGUUUUGAAUGGUCAUUUCCUUGUAUAAUGACUUGCAAUGCUAUUUGCAAAUCAGUCUCAUCACUGGCCGUGUGCGACAGCUCACACCUGUAAUCCCAGCUACUUGGGAGGCUGAGGCGGGAGGAUGACUUGGGCCUGGGAGGUUGAAGUUGCAGUGAGCCAUGACUGUACCACUGCACUCCAGACUGGGUGACAGAGCAAGACUCUGUCUCAAAAUAAACAAAUAAAUAAAAAUUUAAAAAAGUCUAAUCACUGAGAAUGGAAAGGCCUCAAGUUAAUUUUAAGUAGCACUCUUUGUCAUCUUAUUUCUAUAGGGAAUUUGCUUGUGUCCCUAUAGAAGUUAUGUGUCUAACCAGGGUAUUCUAUGCUAUACUGGAACGGAGUGAACAAUUUGUUCUGCAACAUUUGAGUUUCAGUUGGAACAGCUCCCAUUACUGACUGUGAAUGUAGACAUGAUGACAUUCCUUGUGUAAUACCAGUAAGCAUCCACUUAUCCUUCUCACUGUACUUGUUGUAGCUGCUUAACAUUGUGUUUUGUUUUGUAUUCCUAUUUAAACAUUCCAUACCCAAUAGCAAGAAGGCAAAAAUGUCACGAAAUUGACAGAACAUGUAAAAGUGUGUUUGCAGCUUCAGAUGAAGAAUUACAAGGAAAAAUUUUAAUUUUACAUUUCAUCAGGGAAAAAUUCUGAUACUUCUAAAAAACAUUGUCAAUUCUGAUACUUCUAAAAAAUUAGAGCAACAUAUUAGAAAACCUUUGUGCUUAUUGGAUUUCAUUCAAUUUUGCCAAGACUCUUGGAUAUCAAUACCAAAGCAGACUUUCAAAAUUACUCUACCCCAAAGCUGAACACAUAUCUCCAAGGUAUUCUCAAAUGAUGGGCAUUGUCUUAGGCCAGGUGGCUGGGCUGAUUUUCCACUGCCUUGCUCUACUCCCCACUGAACACACAAAUUCAUAUAACCUUUUUGAUCCCCUUUCUCCCUCUGUCCUUCCCCUACUGCCACUUUUAUGUCUUGACCAUUCCAGAAGAAAUGACAAAUGGUUAUCUUGAGGUCAUUUUUGAACGAGAGCAAUAACAGUAAUAUUGAUAAUAAAAUCCAAAUUCAGAGAAGACCUGCGUUUGAUUCAGAAGCUAGUGUGUUUGUGCAUGGUGUUAAAGGUGUACUAAGUAGGUAUUAAUCUUAUUUUCUCCAUUCAUUUUACAUGAAAGCUGUCAUUAUUGGGAUAAGAAUAAAAUGAACAUAAGUAUGAUAAAUGAUAAGUGCACAUGGGAGUCAAUAUACCACUCAGAGAGAGCACUGCUAAUCAACCGGUGCAGUAGGCUAAUGCACCAUGUGAACAGGCAUCUCAGGGAGAGUCUAAAUUUGUAACUCAGGGAAGCUUGGCAUUUAGCUCGAGCUGCUUUUGGCUUAAGGGGAAACAAAGGGUACAAUCAUGUGUGGAUUACAGCAGCAAAUCAUGUUUCAGAAGGUGCCUUUGCAAGACCAUGUAAAACAGAACCAAUUCUAUAUCCCUAACAAGGCCCAGCAUAUACAUGAGUUGUUUAAUGAAUGUUAAAUAAUGUUAAUAAAAAUGGAUGAAAAAGUACUGUACUCUUUUUUUAAUGAACAGUGAAAAGAAAGAGUAAGAGAAUCAAUUAGUUCUCAGUUUGAAACCUCUGGCUUAUAUAUUAAAGCUGAUGAAUACAAUUUUAAAAAUGCAAGUGCUGGAGUCUCUAUGCUAUUGGGAAUCUGUCAUCUUUUAAAACAUACUUUUUAAACUUGAUUCUUAAUUAUUAAUAGAUUAAUGAUUCCCAUUGCUUUUGAUGAUCUCAAGAUCUCUUACAUAGUUUCUUUGUUAACGGCAAUACCAUUUCUGUUUCCCUUAUUCCAGUUAGCCAAGAAGCUAGGGAAGUAGCAGGUUUAUAGUUCUGUUAUUUCAACUAAAAUGCAUUUCUUAUACCCUUAAGAGAGGAGUGGAGUAGAUAGCAAUUCAGCUGCAUAGAAAUAUGGUUGGCUGGGCUCAUGUUGGUUAAGGAGACUGUUGGAAGUAGCAAUUCUGGAAUGAUUAGUGGCUCUUAGUGACAUCAGUCACCUUGGCUCUUACUUCAGGUAUUUUAGAAGUGUCCCUGUUGCACUCCCUUCCCAGGUGGCUGAUGAAUUAAUGAUUAUUUACUGAGCAUCUACUAUGUGCCUGAUUCAUUGUUAAGUACCUAGAGAGCCACAAAGAAAAUGAUACAGUGAAAUAGAAAACCCGUGCUUAACUAGCAAACACUACCUUCUGGCUGACAGUUCAGGAAAGAGUUAGCGUCUGAAAAGAAAAAAAAAAAAUACAUGAUCUUGACUAGAAAGAGGAAGUAGAUUAGCUUCCUCAGUUUCCAUUUUCCUACCUACCACCACAAGCCCCUACUCUCAUAUUCCUAGUCUAGACCCAGUGAGGACUUGGUAAUAGGUAAGCAACUGCUGAAGGACAAUAAAAAAAGUGGAAAGGAGAAUAACCAUAGGGAAUGCAGCCAAAGACUAAGAAAGGUGGAUGUAGUGAGAGUGCAGAUAAGACUCCUCACAUCUUUAACAUCAUAAGCUAGCUGACAUCAAACACUAAGCAGGAAAAAUAAGGAGACAGCAGUGGUUGUGAGGUAGUUGCCAGCUUUAUUUACCACCAACUAAAUCAACAUUGUGCUCUGUUAUUUAAACUUACAUUACUACAAGUAUAUAAUCAUAAUUCUUGGUGUAUAUGCUACUUAUUCCCAUGAAUAUUGAGCAAGAACAAUAUAUCAAUAUAGUAAUAUACUGCAACCUUCUCUCAGCAAGCAUUCAUCUUCACUGUCUACUAUUUCAGGCCCUUCGUAGGUGCUGGAUAAACAAAGAUGACCAAGACAUGUUCCCUGCCCUCAAAGAGGACAAAAUCUAGAAUUUUCUUUUAAAAUGUGCUGAUUUGGUUGCUACACCAGAGUCAUCGUCAUAGUUGGUUAAACAUAUUGGUUAAAUAUAAUCAUUUUGUUGGUAACCCAACAAAACUUGAACUGCUUUAGAUAAUAAUUUUUUGAUAAGGUCAGACUUGAAGGAAGGAUUUGAAUAGAUCACAGGGAUAAAGAGCAUUCCAGAUUGAUGGAAAUAUGUAACUAAAAAAGGAUCCAGUCUUUGAAAGAUAGCAUGGCACCCACCUGUACUGACAGGGGUCGAGGUAAUCGACUGAAAUAAGGUGAGAAAGAAGAGGAUUUCUGUAUUGCAGAUAGUGUAAAUAAAGUCCUUGGAAAGAGAUUUGGCCCUGAAGUCAGGAGAUCUGGGUUUAAUUUUAUAAUCUUGAGCCAAUCAGUCUUAAUCUAUCAUCUUUUAACUCUCCUAUUCAUAGAAAUGAGGAUGAGAAUAUAUAUUUGUCUAUACUGUAAUUCACAAUUUCACAGAAUGGUUUCUAGGCUGAAUAAGAACCUAAAGCAAAUUGCUUUGAGCUGUUGGAAGAAAGAUACUAUUCAAAUCCAAGGAAGUAUUUUAAGAUCUUAUAUUCACUCACUUUUAUAUGUGGUUUUGCUAAAAUAGAAAGAUUAGUUUGAAGUUCAUCCUGCUGUUUUGGUAAAAUCAGUAAAAAUGUCUUCCUGAUUUUUUUCUGAGUGUAAGAUAAAAUUUAUUGUCCUCAGCUAAGUAGAUUAUCAGCCAUUUUCUUUGAAUAGCCAUAUCUUAAAAGUAGAAUCUCUUUUAUUUAUAGAUAGCCUAAAAAAUGACAUGUGAACUUAUAAAAUUUCAUGUAAAAUGAAGCAUGUUAAAUGCAUGUGAUAGUUCUUACUCCUGAGUUUGUUAUUCCUUUCUAUGUAACACAAAUAGAAUCCUCCCUAACUUAAAUUUUAGUAGUUUCAAAACAGAUUAAUACAAAUGAGUUUCUUUCAAGCAUAUAUAGUUUAGGGUAUUUUUAAAAAUAAAAUUACUAUCUUACUUGUAUACUACUCAACUGUAUUUGAACAAUGAUAUUUGUAGAAUAGGUAGAUGGAAACUUCAUUUUCAUCCUACAAGUAACUAAUGCUCAGCUAUCAGUUGAGGUCAUACUGCCUCUUAAAUCUAAGGAAGAUUUACUUGAUUCCUUAUUUUAAGUCUUGAGAUUUCAGCUCCUUCUACAGUAGGUUAGAUCAUGCAUCAUUUUGCUAUUUUGUUCAUUCUGUCCCUGUUCUGUCAUAUUGUCUCAGAGGUGGAAGCCAUCCUGUUUACCUGCUUUUAACAGGUAAAUGUCUCACAAAGAACUUUUUAGUAUUAGCUGAGUUUAAUGAUAGUUUGGGGAAAUGGAAAGGGUUCACAGUGCAGCGUUGUAAAUGUCAAAAUUGCAUAUUAAACAUCUUGGUCCUUUAAAAAUAUCCAUCUGUAGGUAUUUUUGAAAAUCAGGCUUUAGCCUUUCUCUGUAUUAUUUAUUUAUUUGUUUUUGAGGUGGAAUCUUGCUCUGUGGCCAGGCUGGACUGCAGUGGCACGAUCUUGGCUCACUGCAACCUCUGCCUCUUAAGUUCAAGUAAUUCUUCUGCCUCAGCCUCUCGAGUAGCUGGGACUAUAGGCGCGUGCCACCACGCCCAGCUAAUUUUUGUAUUUUUAGCAGAGACGGGGUUUCACCAUGUUGGCCAAGAUGGUCUUGAUCUCUUGACCUCAUGAUCCGCCUGCCUCGGCUUCCCAAAGUGUUGGGAUUACAGGCGUGAGUCACCACGCCCGGCCCUUUCUCUGUGUUUUUAGAGCCUCCCUCUCCUCUCAUUCUCUUGAAAGCCAAACAUAAAAUGAAGUUAAAAUAAAUUCUUCUUAUUUUUGUAAUACAGAAAAUUUUGAAUCUCUCUCCAUUCUUCUUAACUCAUGACUUUGUAGUUAUACUUUGCACUGCCACUUUUCCAAACCUAUGUGAUUCUUUCACUGUGAAGUCUUGAUGUUACUAUAAUAUUUUUUAUGUUAUUUAAUAUUCUAUGUCAAAUAUAUCUUAGACUGAUUAAACCACAAAAUUACUAGAAGAAAAUUUUGGUGAAUUUUUUUUUAAUUUCAGAAAGUGGGAGGACAUUAUAUACAUAAAAUAGAUAAUAAAUUACAAUAUUAAAAAAUGUAUAGAUUGGACCACAUGACAUUUAUUUUGUCCUUACCCCUCAAAAAAACAAAAUAAUUAAACUUUUAAGGAUUUCAUCCUUGAGUCUCUUAAAUGUUUUUUUAGUUUAUUGACAUGAAAUUCACAUAACAUAAAGUCAUGUGAAAUUGAACAAUUCAAUGGCAUUUAGUACAUCCACAGUGUUGUACACUGCCUCUAUCUAGUUUCAAAACAUUUCCGUUGUUCCAAAAUAAAACAUAUCACUAAACAGUUUCUCCCCAUUGCCCCUUCCCCUAGACCCUGGCAAGCACCAACCUGCAUUGUGUCUUUAUGAAUUUACCCGUUCUGGGUAUUUCAUAUAAAUGAAAUCAUACAGUACGUGAUGUGUCUGGUUUCUCUCACUUAGCAUGUUUUUGAGGUUCAUCUACAGUAUAGUAUAGGAGUAUGUAUCUACUAUACAUAUUAAAGUAUGUUUCUGUGCUUCAUCCCUUUUUAUGCUUGAUAAUAUUCCAUUGUGUGUAUAUAUAUAUAUAACGUAUUUUUAAUAGACUGUAUCUUUUU
rnacentral:lncRNA from 1 species